rnacentral:misc_RNA from 1 species
CUUUCUAUGAAAAACUUCAAUAGUUAUGUUUGUUGAAGCUUGUAAUUUUGAGAUAGUGAAGGGAGUUAUACGAGGAAAGAGGGAGCUUAAGACCAAAAACAGAGUAAAGAAACACAAUGAAAAUGGAAGCGAGCGAGUUAGUUAUAUGAUACAUUUUCAAACCCUAUUGAAGAAUGAUAGAAGACUGCCUUGUUUAGCGUCCUUGCUUCCUCCCAUUUUGUUCCCUGUUUUGCCUCCUGGUUUGGAUGGAGCUGUCUUUCCUAAAGCAGACUUCUUAACUGCAGCUGCCCUGUCAACACUAUCUGUAAUUGCAUUAGUUUCAGCUUUCUUCAUUGCCCUAUUGUCAGCUUUCUUCAUUGCGCUAUUGUCAGCUUUCUUUGUUUCUGUCUCUUCCCCCUCCCAUACUACCUCAGUUACUUCUCUACCACG